ensembl:ncRNA C53C7.8 ncRNA
GAAAUGGCUCAUCAAAGAAACAAAAAGACAAAAGAAGGGAAUAAAAAGGAAUCUGGUCAGGAGGUGGAUGUUUCAAGUAAACAAUUC